UAUUAGCGUUUCAGCCCAGAUAUUAACAGAAUACCAGCAUUGUUUGUGAACCUCUGCACUGGCCCUGCCUCUUGUCUUGACAUAUAACAUCUAACGACAAUCCAUAAGUAUAUGAAAAACCUCAAUUAGACACUGAAUAUCAAUAUCUUUUCCAGUCGUGACGUCACACUGAGGCGUAGUUCAGAAUAGCUUGUUCAAAUGGAGCUAUUUCAUCACAUAGUACCAGCUUUAUCCUCCAACAGCACUUAAAUUACACCUCUAAUGGUGAAAUCCACCCCAACACUAUGGUUCCUGUUUCCCAUAAUAAGGACUCUCAUUGGACAAAGGUCUGGAAGGAUAAAUAUUUGACUGGUUUGAUCCAGUCGAUUAACAUUCUCACUCUUUGUCUCUCAGUCUUGCCCAGCGUGUCCCAGACUACAGUAAGUCAUCACUGGCUCCCCCACUUUGACAGUUGAGUCUUGUGAUGCGUGAAGGACCUGCAUGCUGAAUCUUCUCUCUCUCACUCGCUCAAUCCCUCUUUCUCUCUCUCUCUCUCUCUCUUUCUAUCACACACAUACAGUUCACAGACUACUUUCUUUCAUUCUCCCAACAGGGCUUAACAGUGCACCAUGCACUCAGCAACACCAAUCCCUACUUACCUAGCUAUGCAAAACACACACAUGCACUCACUCACACACACUGCAAAUACUUUACGACUACUGGGACUAUCGCAUGAACACAUCAGGAUGCAGUCUGUCACAUAAAUACAUCAUUUUGGGAGAUCUCCUGCGGAAAUCAUAGCACUACAGUAUAGGUAUUAUUUACAUAUUUAUUGUUGGUGCAUUUCCCUGAACUGAUGUCACACAGAUGUUUUGACCCCUCUUUGUCAUAUGAGCUAAGCUGUGACAGCUGGAGUCAGACCAGAUGCUAGUGAGACAUCAUACCCUUACAUGCCACCAGCGGAGGUGUCGGAACAGUACUGGGCUGUACAGAGAUUUUGCAUAGUGGGCACAGUCAACAUUGCAGAUCACGUGUCAGACUCUGACCCAGAAGGAAUGGUCCACACACAACCAUUACAAAGCAAACACACUGAGAAAUGAUCUUUGUGUUAUUACAGUUUGAGUCAGGUCCAGUAUGAAGCUUUACUUGAGAUAAAUGGCAGACAUGAACCCAAAAGCACAAAACAGGGAGCAAUGAGAGUUCAGCUUUACUCAAUUCAGAGGCAGGCACGGGCGAAAACCAGAAGAUCAAGCGAACAAUUCCAGCAAUCCAAAAAUCAGGCAAUCGGCCCAAACAUUUGGAAGCCUGAAGAAUGUUUUCAGCACAGGUGCUCAGUGAGCCAUUUUUCCUUAAUACAUCCACGCUAUGAACCUACUGACAUGACCUGGAAGUUAAGUUAAAACAGGGUUCUCUGUGAAUCUUCCAGCAGUAUGCAGCUGGAUAAGGUGCAUCUCAGCUCAAGGACAGACAGCAAACUUCCAAGGGGAAAAAAAAGGGACUGGAGCCUCCACAUUAUCCCAAGGGCAGGCCAAAAACAGCUCGCCCACAACAAGUACUUUCCUUAGUGAAUGGUCCACAGACAACCAAAUCUAAUAUCAGUCCUCCCAGACAUUAAUUAACAUUAACUCGGCCUGCCGCGAUUAGCCAGCAUAAUCGAUGACGUGAACGCUGAAAAUGCGUCCACAUCAAUAUUUUAAACCGAUGCAUGUUUUUUGAAAACUUUUGUCCCUUUAGCUGCUAAACUCUCAUAAACCCAUAAAGUUGUCUGUUUGCUAUCUUAGAAAUUACAUUGAAUACGUGUUGGAAGAAAAACUAUGCCAGUUUUCAGCCGGCUCCGAGUCACUACAGUCUGGGCAGUACAUGCAGAUGGAGUUCCCCCCGCACACCCGACCAGAACACUAGUUACUUUUAAUUCUUUCAAAGUAAAACUAAAAUCAUAUUUAGUCAUCCCUUUUUGUAGUCUGAGUUAAUGUCAACGUGUUUUGUAAAUGUAUUGUUAAUAGUUUUUUUUUAUUAAAAGAAAGAAAAAAGGUCUUUGAGGAAAUAUCCCAUCUGUUUUCCUCUCAUCAGCUGGAGGGGCGUGUCCCUGUCUGUGUUUGAUGGACAGCAGCUGGCAGGCUGCCAGUGUGCCGGUGUUACACCGUAGAGAACGAGAGGAUGUGGGAACGAGAGAGUGCCGAUGUUACACCUGUUAUGGAAAUUGUUGUGUUAAAUGCUCAUCUGCUGCUUGUAGCUGCCAAAACAUAAUGCAUUAUAUGCAUAAUGAAGUAUAACCUAAGAGUGACUGUUGUGAAACUGCAAUGAUUUGAUGUAAGAAUAAAAGCCUGGAGAAGUAGUAGGCUUCUCUCUGUCUCUCUGUGUGUCUGUCAGAAUUAGACUUCUCCCCAUGUGUCUGUGUAAAGGUAUCCAAUUUGCAUAUCAAGUGCAUGACAACUGUUGCCAGGUGAAGACCGCUAGCAUGUAAAGGUGAGUGAGCAGAGAGCGACAAAGAGAAGAACAGAGAGUAGAAGAGAGGGUUAAGAGAAACAGAACCUCAGAACCGGAGGUGUUCUGUAGCUUGUGUUCUGACAUUGUUGAUAAGCAUGCACCUGUUUGUAACAAAGAAUGUUUGAAUAAAAAGAAUAUUCAAGUAUAAGCUGCAAUGUACUUGUAGUGUACAUCUGCUUGUGCAUACACGGAAGCUCUUGUUUGCAAACAAUUAAUUAUCCUUUGGAAUAAGAGACAAAGACAGAUAUUGUGUUAGAGUAUUUAAUUAUUAUUCAUCUCACCCUAACUAGAUGAAAGAGGUUUUUUGUUUGCCACGACAACUUGGGGGCUCAUCCGAGAUGUUUAACCUGAGUUUUCCUUAAGGCUUUUUCACAGGUCAACUGUGCACAGCCGGAGACUGGGUCCCGGCGCCCAACCUCUCCCUAAAGAGGAUCGUGAUCAACUUAUGGGCAUGACAAGGGGUUGCCUGUUGGAGAAACGAAUCAGGGAUUCCUUCAGCAUCUCAAGGGGAAAAAGAACUUAAAAGGCGCUGCAAAUAGAGAUGGCUUCCAUGACAGUCACAUUAAAGGUAUGCGAUGUAGCAUUGUCAGCUGCUGUUUGUAAACACACAUCAUUCAAAGUUGGCCACACCUCCACGGCUCAACCAGCCGGGGAGAGAGAGCAGCGGUGGUCAAGCGAGCUGGAGUGUGAAUGAAGAGAGGGAGCGGCGUUAGCAUGAAUGAAGCAGUCAAUUAGAGAAAUAAAGCAUUAUUUUCAGA